GGGUUAGCAGGUCGGUCGUGCCAUUGGUAUGAACUGGUCUCGCUGAUCCCUCCCUCUUGACGAACUGUGAUGCCAUUAAUUUGGUGUUGCGGGGAAUUUGGACUGUUACUUUGAAAAAAUUAGAGUGUUUAAAGCAAGCUAACGCUUGAAUACAUUAGCAUGGAAUAAUGAAAUAGGACGUUCGAUCCUAUUUUGUUGGUUUCUAGGAUCAACGUA
rnacentral:rRNA from 1 species